rnacentral:rRNA from 1 species
UACGGAGGGGGCUAGCGUUAUUCGGAAUUAUUGGGCGUAAAGGGCGUGUAGGCGGCUUCGUGUGUCUUAUGUGAAAGCCCUCGGCUCAACCGGGGAAUUGCAUGGGAAACUGCGGAGCUUGAGUCCGGGAGAGGAGAGUGGAAUUCCCAGUGUAGCGGUGAAAUGCGUAGAUAUUGGGAGGAACACCAGUGGCGAAGGCGGCUCUCUGGACCGGUACUGACGCUGAGACGCGAAAGCCAGGGGAGCAAACGGG